GGAUUAGAUACCCUGGUAGUCCACGCCGUAAACGAUGAGAACUAGCCGUUGGGGUCUUUAAGACCUUCGUGGCGCAGCUAACGCGAUAAGUUCUCCGCCUGGGGAGUACGGCCGCAAGGUUAAAACUCAAAUGAAUUGACGGGGGCCCGCACAAGCGGUGGAGCAUGUUGUUUAAUUCGAUGCAACGCGAAAAACCUUACCACCCCUUGACAUCCUGUGGACUUUCUAGAGAUAGAUUGGUGCCUUCGGGAACGCAGUGACAGGUGCUGCAUGGCUGUCGUCAGCUCGUGCCG
rnacentral:rRNA from 1 species